AUACAUAUUAAUAAAGAGAAUCUUCAGACUCCCAAAAUAACAAAAAUAGCUUUUGAAACCAUUACUAUGAAAAUCAAUUACAAACACAACCUUAAAUUAAUUAAUGGAGGCUAUGGAGCCUGCCAGCCUACUUUUUGUAUGUUUUGUCUGUCUGUUUGUCUGUCUUAGAGAAGCCCAAGGCCCAUACUCUCGGAGUCGGGCUGAGGACUCGUGGCAGACAACCAACUAACCAACCAACUCCUUCCUUUCCAAGCCUGUGAGCAGCAGGGGGAAAAAAAAAAAGGGAGAGAGAGAGAGAGAUCCGAUCAUCCUCGACUCGAGAUGGCGUGGGUUUGGUGGGAAGCAGUGCUACCUCUGGGAAUCAUAGCAGGAAUGCUGUGUUAUGGGUAGUGCUCAGUAUUACAUGCACAAAGCCGUUCAUGACCGGACGAAGCAUAUCGGCAACGACAUGUGGGAUGUGGCUAUGGAACGGAAGGACAAGAAGCUCAUUGAGAAGCUCUCUACUGCUGCUCAUUAUUAACAA